AAGUCGUAACAAGGUUUCCGUAGGUGAACCUGCGGAAGGAUCAUUACUGGGUUUCGGGGCUCGUCCCCACUCACCCGCCCUUUGUCAUAUGCGAAUCAAUACUUCGGCCCCUGUCCUCCCGGCGCCCCCGCCCGUCAGAACGGCGGGGCACCGCCUGUUGGCCGUGGGUCGGCAUUGCAAACCCUUGUGGAAUACUGAAGUCUGAUCAAAAUUUCAAACGAAAUCAAAACUUUCAACAACGGAUCUCUUGGUUCUG
rnacentral:misc_RNA from 1 species